rnacentral:piRNA from 1 species
UNGUGUCCUCUUUACCAUGUUUAGGGUAG